AGCGAACGCUGGCGGCAGGCCUAACACAUGCAAGUCGAACGAACUCUUCGGAGUUAGUGGCGGACGGGUGAGUAACACGUGGGAACGUGCCUUUUGGUUCGGAAUAACUCAGGGAAACUUGUGCUAAUACCGAAUGUGCCCUUCGGGGGAAAGAUUUAUCGCCAUUAGAGCGGCCCGCGUCUGAUUAGCUAGUUGGUUAGGUAACGGCUCACCAAGGCGACGAUCAGUAGCUGGUCUGAGAGGAUGACCAGCCACACUGGGACUGAGACACGGCCCAGACUCCUACGGGAGGCAGCAGUGGGGAAUCUUGCGCAAUGGGCGAAAGCCUGACGCAGCCAUGCCGCGUGAAUGAUGAAGGUCUUAGGAUUGUAAAAUUCUUUCACCGGGGACGAUAAUGACGGUACCCGGAGAAGAAGCCCCGGCUAACUUCGUG
rnacentral:rRNA from 1 species